UACGUAGGGGGCAAGCGUUGUCCGGAUUUAUUGGGCGUAAAGAGCGUGUAGGCGGUUCGGUAGGUCCGUUGUGAAAACUCGAGGCUCAACCUUUGAAUGCCGCUGGAAACUGUCUGGCUUGAGUCCGGAAGGGGCGAGUGGAACUCCUGGUGUAGCGGUGAAAUGCGCAGAUAUCAGGAGGAACACCAAUGGCGAAGGCAGCUCGCUGGAACGGUACUGACGCUGAGGAGCGAAAGCGUGGGGAGCGAACAUG
rnacentral:rRNA from 1 species